GAUGAUUCUCUCCACUAAAAAAUUACACACUCCAUUCUUUCCCUUUUCUCCCUCACUGGCACACACACCAUUAAUCAUCUUCUUCCAUUAUUUAACAACAAUACCACAGCAGCCAUUUACAAGGAUUUUCUCGAUAAAAACAAAAAAAUACACACUCCAAAAACUCACACACAUCACGGAUCCUCACCACCGAAAAACUCUCUCACACACACAUAUGCACAUCAGGACACAGAGAAAAUUGGGGAGUGAACAAAGGGAGGAAACACAGUGAAAUAGAGCGGUUUGAGAGUGAAUAUCGAGAGAAAAAAAAGAUUGAUCAAAGAG
rnacentral:lncRNA from 1 species